AUCCCGCGUCCUUGUGGAGGGAGGGGGGCAUAUGUUGCGAGUUCUUUUCCGUUCUCGGGGAAUUGGGAACGGGUUCGGUUUAUAAUGCCCUGCUCUUUUACGUAUCUCGGAUCGCGGAUUCGAUCGUUUCUUCAGGAUUCCGUUAGGACUCCAAGCUCUCGCAGUUAUCCUCAACUUCCUCAUCGAUCCCAACGAUUGGUUGCGCUGUGGUUGGAUCUCGUGUGGCAUUAUAUAAUGAUCUGCUGCUGAGUAAUCUGGUGGUGGCGCGCUGGUGGCGGCAGCUAGGCUCCUCUUCCUUGCAAUUUUGCUGGAUAUGGCGUGGUUCAUACUUUUCUCGCAAACGAUGUGAUUGAUGAUAUGCUAAGAAGGCCCCUGAAUCAUUGAUAUGUAAAGCAGCGGAGAAUGGAAUUUUGUUCAAAAUCUGGCCCAUCUUUGCCUUCUCUAUAUUUUUGAAUGCAUCCUGGGCUUUAAUGUUACAGCUACCAUUUUUGCCUUCAAGAUUCAUUUUUUUGUGGGUAAAAAAUUUAUCUAAAAAUUUAUAUUUUUCUCAAUAAAUAUUUUUCAGAUAACAUUUAGACGAAAAAAUAAUUUAUCCAUUUUUUAUAUGUAUGAGAAAGUGACUU